ensembl:snRNA U6 U6 spliceosomal RNA
GCUCACUUCAGCAGAGCAGAUACUAAAAUUGAAACAAGACAGAGAAGGUCAGCACGGCUCUUAAACAAGAAUGGCAUGCAAAUCAGUGGAGCAGUCCAUAUUUUA